AUGGAGCGGAUGGAAGUGGACCAGUGCGCAGGCGCAGGAGGCGGGGCUCUCCGCAGGUCGAACAGCGCCCCCAUGAUAACAGGUGUCAGUGAUGGGAUGGCAGUCUUCAGUCCUGUGUCCUCGGCUCGGUACAGACGCAGCAGUGUGUCCAUCAACCCCAGCUGCCCUUCGCAGUUCGUAUCUCUCUCUCCUUUCUCUCUGACCGGAGACAGACUGGACCACAAGAGGCAGGAGGAGAACAUGGAGAUGACGCUCAGAGGGAGCCUGCAGAGACUGAGUGCUUCCAGUCUGUUCCCAGUUCCACCAGUCAGUCAAUGGCAUGACCACGCAUCGUGGUUGGAGUCGCAGGACAGCGGUGUCACCCCAAACUCCUCCCCGAGUCCCACCAGGAGGUUCAGACCGGCGGUCAGUGGCACCGUGAGAUGGCCCGCGUUAACUCCACUGAAGAGGAAAGGUGGGGUGGAGUCUGAUGGACCCCCAAAGAAACUUUUUGUUGCCGGGGUAACAGAUCCCACGCACCGCAGCAGCUACACGGUCAGUGUCUCUCAGUCCACGGCAGACUCUCCUCCCGCAGGAGGUGUCAGUCCUCAGUCCAGCCCUCUGUGUCUGUCUCCUCCCCCUCCCUUCACCCCCUUUACCUCCCACCAGCACCCUGGACACUAAACCCCACCUCACCCAGAUCCAGACCCUGUCACUGUGGAUGCAGACCGAGCCCCAGCAGCUCCAAAAAAACAAAAACAAAAUAAAACCUGGGGAACAUUGACCUCAUUUCUCUUCCAAUCAGAUGCCAGCAUUGCUGUAAGUCCCGCCCCUUCCUGUGACCACAUUUGAUGGACUGAAAAACACAUCUCCACUUUCAGUUAAGUCUGGCCCUGCUCCCCGACUGGGUUUAUCCUCAUGGACGGUGUCCCAAGAUGUUUUUUACAGCGAAGAAGCUUCAGAUUGAAGUUUGAUUUCUGUUGGUUGAUUGACUUUAAACCAACAUCAGUCAUCAUCUUAAUUUCUCUUCAGUUAAUCCCAGUUAACGUUGGUCCAUGUGGUCGGCACAAACUCAUAUUUCACUGUGUCCCAUUCAGAGGACUGGAGGUCACCAGACCAGCCUUCUCAAUCGAACAGCCUAACUUAGGACUCCUCGUCAGUGUUCUUCCAAGAUCACAAAAACCUUUUGGGAGAUGUUUUGAGAACCAUGCUGCUUGUGUCCAAAGACAAAAGUCUGGAGUUGCACUUCUGCAGAAAUGUACUUAAAAGUCCAAAUGGACCCACAGAGACGGUUUGGUGAUGACAACAGGCAACUCGACAAGAAUAAAACUGGUUCUCAUACUAGGACAAAGAACAGGCUGAAGACAGUCUGCUCUUUUUCUCAGAGAACUUAGAACAGGACUACAGACGCCUUUCCCAUUUGUCCUGGAGGCGAAAAAUAUGCUGCUGCUUGGAUGGAUAAAUCAAAAUGGCUGCUUAUUGGUGGAUGCAGCUCCAGUCCAAUCUGACCCAUCAGUCGGCAGAUUUCCAGAUCUUCUCUGAUCAGUUUUUCAGAGGUUUGGAAGACUUUCUAACAAGGUCUUGAGUUCUAAUCAAGACAUAAACACAGUUGGUCUGAAUCCGAGGCACUUCAGGAACUUUGGUUCCACCUUCAGUGAUCCGGUCGACAAGAACUAAACCAGAUGGAGACGCUUCAGCAGCGACUGAGCGUUUUGUCCUGGAUUUGUACUUGUUGGAAGUCAAGUAUGUAAACUUAUUGAUCUCUCUAUCAGGAAGAUGUAGAACUGAUCUGAUUGACGUAGACCUGGUCCAGGAGCCAAAGUCAGGAGUGUCCAUGACUGAUGGGUCUGUGGAGUAACAUCUGGACUCAGCCAGCACUUCAUCACAUCUGUCAAUCAGAGUUAUGCACCUGUUUUUCAUUUCCGCCAUCCAGUUUUAUGGAAUGCAUGUGUAGAACCUCUGCUGAGGGUGGACAGAGUCUGAAUACACAACAAUCUUAUGCCAUAAAACUGAAUCUAAAAUCCAGAUGAAAGUGCUGCAGUGUUUGUGAGGCCAAAAUUAGUUGUUUUGUUUUAUGUUUUUUGGGGUUUUUUUGAGCCAAAGCAGCUUAAAUGUGAGUCAACGUGAUUCAGAGCAAAGUUUGUUAUUGAAGUGAAAGACAAGUUCUAGUUGUUGGGCAGGACUGGCUAUCCCUGGAUGAACCAUUCUGGAUUCUCCAGAAGAACCUUGGCAGACUCCAAAUAUUCUACAGGCUGUAAAGGUUUGGAGGAGGUUUCGCUGUAGGACGAUGGUCUGAUAAAGUGGCUCCUGGUCAGCAGGAGCAGGAAGAGCUCGGCUCUGUUUAAUGUGUAUCUAUAUGUAAUUAUUCUUCAACCUGCAGGGUUUGAUUGUACAUAUUGAAUCUGCAGGUGGAUUUAAAUUUUCUGUUCGAUUUGUUCCAGACACUUUGAUUCUGGUCGAACUCCCCGUAAAACAUGACUGAGGACUCCGGUUUUCCAGUCAGGAAUCCACUUUGAUUCCUCUGGGCUUCUUUCUGACAUCAGUUCUGUCUUUUCGCACUUAAAUGCCCUAAACUGAAGAAGCUCUCAGCUGUAGGUCGUGAUCUGCAAUAAUAACAAAUUACUCUGAGCUCUGUGUCGUUACACAGGAACUAAUGUGAGUCCAAGCGGUGAGACGCACUUCACUUUUUAUUUGAUCGGAUUUUGCACAAACCUGCCAUUUCAUGUUAUUCAGCAUUGUCAGUGAAUUCCACAUUCACCCUGAGAAUAAUGUCCAACAUCCAAACAUCCACAACCUCAUCACGACACACGGUGUCCACGAGGAACCCGAGAACACCCGGGGCCACAGACCCACUGAGGGGCCCGAGGUAUGAGGCGCCCGAGGUCUAAGGGGGCGGUAGUUUCAGAAUAAGCUGCACUUCCAGCGUUUGCACUUGCACAGUAUUGUACAGUUUUGUACUGUCACUCAUCGUUGUGCCUAAACAUAUCGUCACAUUUUGAAGGAGCGACCUGUCUCUGACAGGAAGUGGCUCCUGGUUUCUAAACACCUGACCCGUCACCUGUGAGGUGUGUUUGUAUGUAUUUCAUAGACUUUGUUUUUAUGCAAGUGUCUUUACUCCCCUCCCCAAAAUCUAUUUUCCUUUACUGAAAACUUUGCACAGUGCUGGUUCAGUCUGUUACAGGAAUCGUCACGUAGGAAAUGCUGUUGAGUUUUGUUGCUUUUCUCUUUCUUCUGCUUCUCUGUCCUGUUUUAGACAAAUCAAAGUACGAGUGUGUGAAAAUAGACGUUCAUGGUUCAGGACUUGUUGGUGUUUGGACUUUCUCAAUCACUUUAACAAAUACGAACCAUCUUGACUGGACGUAAAGUUGAAAGUGUGAGAGACUUUGAUGGACUUUGAUGAAACAGGAUGGACUUUUCUUUGCCAAACUCUUGAAGGUGAACAGACACAAACUGUAGCUUUAAGGACGUUUCCUUGUAUUAUUUGAACUUUGCACACUCGCCAUCCUGGACUGGAGGUAAAUAUGAAGAGAGGAAAUGUUCUUCUGUAGCUGGAUCCAAACUGCGAUGAGGAUCUCGAAGGUUCUCGCUCUGUUCUCGUACCGGUUUCUGCUUCAAACAGUUUUUAAGCCAAAAAUUCUUCAUCGAAAUGCAACGGAAAAGAAAAAUCGUUCAACAGCUGCUUGUUUUUAUCAUCGCCACCUUUUCUUCGAGUCCCGACUGGAUCCGCUGUUUCUUUGGCCUUUUCUUGAAAGUUUCUCAGGGCUCAAAUCAUUGAAAGUCCCAUGUUGUUGUUUUUCUUUUGAAUUAAAUGUAAAUUUGAGGAGUGUUUGGAGAUUUAAUCUCUUCUGUCAGUAUCGGAUUCAAACGGUUAAACUCCACUGAAGGAUUUUUAGCUGUGGCUCUAAAUUCGAUGAAUACGAUGAUAAAUGUUCUGACCAGUGGCUUUAAAAUCGCACAGAAAAACCUCUUGUCCAUGAUCAUUUCCUGUUGUGCUUCUUCUGAUGGGCUGAGAUGAUUUUGGCUCUGCAGACACUUUUCCCUCAGGCUGUGAAAGCGAUGAACCUUUUUCUCAUUUGAACCAACGCAAAGUUUCUAGUUUUACCGACACAUCGGUUUCCUGAAGUAACAGAAAAGGUUUUGAUGUGAGAAGGUGAAACGUUGUUGUGUCAAGAAACAAAUAAUUUGUGUCAGUAACAAGAAAAGGUUCUAAAAACAUGAAAAUGAUCUUGUAAAAAAACAAACACGUUUUAUUUAUUUAUGUUGCUUGUCAUGGAGACAUUAAUACGCUGCUGCCACUUUUACCUUGGAUCCAGAUGUGCUUAGGUUUGUUUUAUUAGAAACUUUCAUUACUUUUCUUCCACUGAGACUUUUUCAGUCCUCAGAAACGUUGAAGUGACGUUGCAGUUUGUUUGUUUUGGGACAGAUAUUUAACUUAAGUAACUAGUCGAGGUUUUUCAGUAUUAAAGUGAUAUUUCCCUCCGGUAGAACUCUGUGGGUUCUCAGCACUAACGGUCAAUCUCCAAACUGACCCUUCCUGACUUCCAUUGUUCCUGAGCAGUUUUAUUUUUCCAGAAGUCCAGAAAGGACAAGGACGUGCUGAGAUUUUGACUAAAGACUCUCAAACCACAGAUCCAGACUGGACCAAGCCCCAGGCUGGAUCUGUGGUUUGAGAGUUUGUCAGUUUGAGUAAAGUUUCUGUCUCGCUGGACAAAACAAAACAUUCAAAAACAUCAGCCUGGACAUUUGCUGUAGAAUUUCUUUAAUUGUCUAAUGAGGGUGGCACGGUGCUGCAGUGGCAUCACAGUGUCUCCUCACAGGAGGUUGUGGGUUUGAACCCUGGUCAAACUUUUAAGCUCUUUAUGUUUGAGUGUUUCCCCGAAACAGAAGGAUCGUCAUUGGACACUAACACUCAUCACUGUGAACAAACAGGUUAAAGCUGCUGAACAUGACAGCGAUCUGCCGGAGAGAGUCGGACUUUAAACAAAGGGCUGAGAGAGUUUUGUUCACGAUGUUAAAGGGAACUAGAAGCACAUCUCUGAAACAUUCACACAAGCAUUUUCAGAGUGUAAAUACUUUUUCUUUCUUUUUCUUUUGGACAAAUUCUCGACAUAAAGACAAAAGAGAAGAUGUAUUUUUAUGCAACAGAAAAAUGAAAGUCUAUAUUCAAGUGUUCAUUCCUUCCUGCUCUCAUGGCUGUAAAAUGACGCAGAAUGACGUUUUAGUUUUUAGUGGAAACAAUCCAUGUACACACUAUGAAAAAUAUAAAUAUUAUAUUGUAUAUGAAAGCUAUCAAUAAAAAUCUGCAAUAGGAGAA
rnacentral:lncRNA from 1 species